rnacentral:ncRNA from 1 species
AACGUUCACCUCGGCACCUUUUGGUUGUCUGAGGCGCAGUUCGAUCCAGGCCAUGGAACGGGGACCUGGG